UAGCUACAGAUGUGCGCAAUGUAUUUAUUAAAGGAUGUAGAUGCAUGCAUAAUAUAUGCUACAUGCGUGUAUCUAAGCUAUUAUAUUAUAUAGAGAAGGUGAAUGGAGAAGGAAAUUGAAAAGAAAAAGAAAUGGAGAUGAAAUGAUAAGGUUAUCGAAAUGGAGUGAAUGUUUAUGAUCUUGCUAUCCUAUUUAUUUUAUUUCUAUAAUUUCCUUCUAUCUAUCAUUUAGCUGACAAGCGAUAUUCGAACAUAAUUCCUAACAAUCACAGUUUGGAAAAGGGCAAGAAGAACUUGAAUUCUUUGAUCAAUUCAAAUCAUAAUCUCAACAUCAUGUAGCGGUCCUCGCUAUUCUCAAUGAAUGAUUCAUUCUUUGUUACUCCGAAAGGAAUCCAGGGAAUUCCUCAAUUAGAGAUGAUGGCACUGUUAGAUUAUUCCAGCCGCCAUUGAAGAACUCAGUCAAUACCCAAAGGAAACUUAGAGAACUUGUCAGAAAGUCAAGUUAGAGGACUUGGUUAGAAAGUGAAGUUAGAUGACUUGUUA
rnacentral:misc_RNA from 1 species